GUUCCGGGGCGGGGGUGCGGGAGGCCCGGGCGCUCGGCUGUAAGCUGGUCCGCGGCCGGUCAGCGGCACAGGAGCUGGGGCGAGAGCAUGACCCAUUUUUCGAGCCUCUCCCGGGUAAGAGAGGCCUGACGUUUAGUGCGACAGCAAUUCCGGUGUUGAAGAGAAGGCCGAUGGCGUUUAAAGGACGAAUUUGCCUCUGUGGAUUCUGAUCGACCCAGCCCCCUACGAGCCUACUUUCUGUUCCGCGCUCCCAUGCUUUCUGUGACUUCCUCACCAGGACUAAGUUGAGAAGAGACCUUACUAUCAUCUUCCCUGCAUGUGCUUGGGGAAAACUGACAUGGUUCUUGCAAUACAGUGUCCAGUUCUGGAAAAGCUGCUUUUUAAAGCCGCUGUGAAGCGAGAUCAGACACUGCCGACAUGUAAUGCUCCCCCCCAUAUAACCAUGAUUUAUACAACACGGGACACACUCCUCAUGGUAUCAGGAGGACUAUGGGAUGCACCAUGGAUUCACAACCCUGCCACGGAGUACUGGAAAAUAUCGAGGUCCCAGCUGAUUACUGAUCUUUUGAGUCUAGAUGUGGACAGUACAGACUUUAAUUUUUAUCUGUUGAAGUGGAAAGACUUUUCUCCACCUUCAUGACAUUUUAGUCCCCACAAGACCCACUGUGACAUGCAGAAACUCUUACAAUAGUUAGCUAGCAUUUCUAAUUCUUACUGCUUGAGUUUCUUGUCAUUCCUUCUACAAUGCCAGAUUCUGUACUUAUACCACUACAAUGGAAAUUAUGUUUGGUAGAUACUAAGAAAAAUAUUUAUUUUUCAUAUAAAGUCUCAAUAAACAGUCAUUUAAAUCCUAUUUUUUAUAGUAAUGCAUUCAAAUAUCACAUUCUGGAAUGAGCAAAGCUGUGAAUGUGGGUAGGCUAGGCUUGAUGUGGAUUUUGAAUCUUAACUUCAAGAUUGCAAAAUUACAGUUCAUGGAUCUAUAUAUGAGCUAUAGCUGAGAAAACAGUAGAAGUGUCAUUAUACUCAGAAACAACUGGAAUUUUUAUUUUUGAUUGCUCACUAGCUUAGGAGUUGAUUCUGCCUAUCUAUCGAAGAUGUCAACAACAGCAACAGUCAAAAUUAGAAAUAUGCCAUCUUGAAAUGAAGUAACAAACGUUGGCAAGUAUUUAGAUCUUGUCUAAAACAUCACCCCCUAUUAAAUUCAAUUACAAACUGCACAUACAUAUCGUGUUUCUGGUGACUGCAUUUUCUUUCUCCCGCAAAGUAGCUGAAGAUAUUAGUAACAUUGCAAACUAAAAUGAAGACUAACUGACUUUGCAUGGCAUUCUCUAUGUCCAGUCAAAAAAUAAAUAAAUAAUGUAUCUGGGUGAGGUUUAAAUGGACUAUUUUACA